CUUGAUCGAGCCGAGCCACAGCGGCUCGUCGUCGGUGCGCGCCUGGCCGUACGUCGCGAGCAGGGCGUGUGCCUC
rnacentral:antisense_RNA from 2 species